ensembl:lncRNA novel transcript
AAGCUGGUGUCUGGCCACCAAAGGCAGGCGUGCAGGGCCUUGGCUACUGCGCUAGGUCUGCUGAUGGCCACAAGCCUUUAGUCCCAGCUCUGCCUUAGCAAUGGGGGUGUCUGAAGGCUCAGGGGAUACACAGGUCCUCUAGGUUCCUGGGGAGAUGAUGGAAAGAAGCUUGCAAUAACUAAUUAGCAGCUCCGGCCACUGGAGAAAGCUCAAUGCCUUGAGAAAAGCAAAUGCACCGGAGAAACAAGUUAGAUAGAGCUGAAUUAAAGGUGAGCUUUUGGCCAGG